rnacentral:rRNA from 1 species
GCAAACAGGAUUAGAUACCCUGGUAGUCCACGCCGUAAACGAUGUCGAUUUGGAGGUUGUGCCCUUGAGGCGUGGCUUCCGGAGCUAACGCGUUAAGUCGACCGCCUGGGGAGUACGGCCGCAAGGUUAAAACUCAAAUGAAUUGACGGGGGCCCGCACAAGCGGUGGAGCAUGUGGUUUAAUUCGAUGCAACGCGAAGAACCUUACCUACUCUUGACAUCCAGAGAACUUUCCAGAGAUGGAUUGGUGCCUUCGGGAACUCUGAGACAGGUGCUGCAUGGCUGUCGUCAGCUCGUGUUGUGAAAUGUUGGGUUAAGUCCCGCAACGAGCGCAACCCUUAUCCUUUGUUGCCAGCGGUUAGGCCGGGAACUCAAAGGAGACUGCCAGUGAUAAACUGGAGGAAGGUGGGGAUGACGUCAAGUCAUCAUGGCCCUUACGAGUAGGGCUACACACGUGCUACAAUGGCGCAUACAAAGAGAAGCGACCUCGCGAGAGCAAGCGGACCUCAUAAAGUGCGUCGUAGUCCGGAUUGGAGUCUGCAACUCGACUCCAUGAAGUCGGAAUCGCUAGUAAUCGUAGAUCAGAAUGCUACGGUGAAUACGUUCCCGGGCCUUGUACACACCGCCCGUCACACCAUGGGAGUGGGUUGCAAAAGAAGUAGGUAGCUUAACCUUCGGGAGGGCGCUUACCACUUUGUGAUUCAUGACUGGGGUGAAGUCGUAACAAGGUAACCGUAGGGGAACCUGCGGUUG